rnacentral:rRNA from 1 species
UACGAAGGGGGCUAGCGUUGUUCGGAAUUACUGGGCGUAAAGCGCGCGCAGGCGGCUAUCCAAGUCAGUGGUGAAAGCCCGGAGCUCAACUCCGGAACUGCCAUUGAAACUGUUUAGCUUGGGGACGAGAGAGGUGAGUGGAAUUCCCAGUGUAGAGGUGAAAUUCGUAGAUAUUGGGAAGAACACCGGUGGCGAAGGCGGCUCACUGGCUCGUUUCUGACGCUCAGGCGCGACAGCGUGGGGAUCAAACAGG